rnacentral:rRNA from 1 species
UGGCGGCGUGCUUAACACAUGCAAGUCGAACGAUGAACCACUUCGGUGGGGAUUAGUGGCGAACGGGUGAGUAACACGUGGGCAAUCUGCCCUGCACUCUGGGACAAGCCCUGGAAACGGGGUCUAAUACCGGAUACGAGUCUCCAAGGCAUCUUGGGGACUGUAAAGCUCCGGCGGUGCAGGAUGAGCCCGCGGCCUAUCAGCUUGUUGGUGAGGUAGUGGCUCACCAAGGCGACGACGGGUAGCCGGCCUGAGAGGGCGACCGGCCACACUGGGACUGAGACACGGCCCAGACUCCUACGGGAGGCAGCAGUGGGGAAUAUUGCACAAUGGGCGAAAGCCUGAUGCAGCGACGCCGCGUGAGGGAUGACGGCCUUCGGGUUGUAAACCUCUUUCAGCAGGGAAGAAGCGAAAGUGACGGUACCUGCAGAAGAAGCGCCGGCUAACUACGUGCCAGCAGCCGCGGUAAUACGUAGGGCGCAAGCGUUGUCCGGAAUUAUUGGGCGUAAAGAGCUCGUAGGCGGCUUGUCACGUCGGUUGUGAAAGCCCGGGGCUUAACCCCGGGUCUGCAGUCGAUACGGGCAGGCUAGAGUUCGGUAGGGGAGAUCGGAAUUCCUGGUGUAGCGGUGAAAUGCGCA